CUGCUUAUGGGUAAGUGCAUUAUGAACACAUAAGGGGAGAUGGUGGAAUAUAAAUAAGCAUAUUCCUUCUUCCCAUCACCUGCUGUCAGCAAAAAAGUUUUGGCAAAAAGGAUGUUUACUGUGAUUUAGCAGCAUCAGGAAGUAGGAAUUGACCUGAUUAUAGCAGCAACUCUCAGGCUUCAGCACUUUUGUUAAUCAUGUAAAAGCCUAAAGAUGACUUGGGGACUAAAUUUAAGCUUCAGGGUUGGAAAGCUCUGACUGGAGAAUCUUAGCUGCAGGAGGAGUAUUGAACAUGUGAGCUGAGGAGGGGCAAGCACCAGACCUAGCACUCAGAGCCAAGCUUUCUGUCUGGGCCAGGGAUACCUACAGCUCCUGCCAGCUGCCUGUCUGUGUGACCUCUCCUCACCAAAGCAGCAGCACUGCCAUUUGAACUCCAGUGCAAGUUGGCUCAAAUGGAGCAAUAUCUAAAAACUGGGUAUCCAUUUUAUACACUUGUUGUCUUCUUUCCAAUUACACAGGCCAGUGCUUGAAUACAUUUUCAGCCUGGUUGUCAGGUAUGGACUGGUAUAUCACCAUAUUCCCUCAAACAUUCCUCAAACAUUAAGGCACAUCCAACUCUUCUCCAGAAGUGAACUGAGAGCAGCAGGACGGGCCUGAGCACGAGUCUCAAGGCAGAGCAGGAAGUUGGCUCAGAACAGCACUGCCCCACAUCCAUGGGACCCUCUUCUCCCAUCUCCAUUCCUACAGCAAUGCUCAGGACACAAAACACACUUUGCUCCUCUACACUGUCAAACCCAAUUAGACUGCAGCAAGAAGGAUUGGUCACUGCACUGAAAAGAUUUGAGAGAGCACAAAAUUACAGAGCUGGACUGGACAGGUGUCAUGGAUCUGCUUCUUCUGUUUUGAGGGGGUGUUGUCUCUGAAAACUUUAUUUCUCCCUUAUCUCUAAAGGGGCCUAGGCAGAAGUGGCACAGGACAAGGUACCACUUAUUUGGUAUGCCCUUUUUGAAACAUCUGAGUCAUGGCUCUCCAG
rnacentral:lncRNA from 1 species